AUUGAAACACUGGUUCCUGUACAAUCACAGAAGUUAAGCAACAUCAAGCCUGGUCAGUAUUUAGAUGGCUGACCACUCGGGAUUACCAGGUGCUGUAAG